CCUAAUUUGAGUUAAGCCCAGUUUUGACAGAUUAACAGCGAGGUGAGUAUUUUGACAAUUCGACGAAAAUGUAAACAAAACAUAAUUCAUUCCCAGUAAUGCAAAUGCAAAUGAAGAUAAAGAAGAAACCAAGAAGAAUGUUGCAACAGGAAAAGUGUAAUCUCCCGAGAAGGAAGCCGACUUAUUUAUUCUUGAGCAAAGAGGUACCAAAUCUAGUUAAAAUUACACUUGUCGACAAAAUUAUGUUCCUGGAAAUCAAAUCGCUCUAUUCCGAUGGCAUUUUAUGUUCUUAUUUUUAACCCGACUCGACUGUAGGAAUGAGAAGGGUAGAUAUUACGAAUUUGUAGUCUUAAGAUUAUAAAAUCAAGUUCUUGUAAUAUAUUGAAAAAAAUAUAAAAAUAAUGUUGAA